rfam:Chelonia mydas contig270675, whole genome shotgun sequence.
CCAGGCUGAGGUAGUAGGUUGUAUGGUUUAGAAUAACACCCGCAGGAGAUAACUGUACAGCCUCCUAGCUUUCCCUGG